rnacentral:snRNA from 1 species
CCAUUAUCCAUUAAGGAC